GAAGGAAGAUAUCGACACGUGAACGCAACGGUAAUCAUUGUUGUUGACUUUACAAUGAUUCUCCUUGACACGUUAUAAUGUUGUUAUGAUUAUGAAAAUACACAACGGACAAAGGCACAGCAGUGUAUAGGAGACAAAUUUCUUACCUAAACGCUGGGCAUCGUCUUUGGCAUUUUUUUGAAAGAUAUAGAAGCAAGGGAAAUGACUUUUUUAUUGUUCAGACGAUUUGUUACUCAGACUAGCGAGCUCCUCCACAAAGCAAAUAUCAAAAUCAUCACGUCGACUUAUAUUAACGAACCCAGCCCUCUCAAUUACGGCGAAAACAACGAACUCCUCAUGUAAUAAAUAAUGACAGUCAUCUGAAAUAGCUGGUGCAAUACUGCCAAUGGUACAAAAGCAAUCUUAUUUAUUUGCGCAGCUAUGAUACUACGUAACCUGCAAGCUUGUUGGUGCUCACAAAGUUUUCCAUUCAUUGCAGUCAAGACCCUAAUGCAUGACGACAUUUGCUACAUAAAAAUUUUGAAGCAAUCGAAUGCUAUACUGAGUCUUCCCGUAAUCAUCAACUUGAACGAAAUAAUUUUUUGUUCCCAUCGUUCCAAUUGUUUAUACUGAAAAGAAAAAUCGCAACACUUUCUUUGGAGAUGUGAAAUUGUUCAAAUCCAAGUUUUUUCACAACGCACCAAAGGUUUGCUAAAAAACAGGCUUCUUUUGGGUCCAUUGCAUUCACUUUUUGCUUUUAUACAAAAUAUAAAAUUAGAGUUAAAAUACACUGUUGGACAGUAUUAUUGAUUAUACUCAACUUAAUUAUAGCUACCUCAAUCUUUAUCUAUCCUUUAUGAGUGUUAAUGUGAAUAAAAUAUUUAAAAAAACUGACGAGAAUAAGACGUUCAAAGAUGUGAAAUCCUGUCAAUUGUCAAAUAGAUUUUUUGCCAUCUAAACACCUAACAACAUAUUACAUGUGUCUUUGUCUGCUGA